AUGUACAUGCCUAAACCAUAGCGUUAAUGCACUGAAUCCCAUUAGAACUCUGCAGUUAAGCACGCUCGGGCUAGAGUAGUAUUGGGAUGGGUGACUGCCUGAGAAGUCCUAGUAUUUUACAUG
rfam:Picea glauca, whole genome shotgun sequence.